UACGUAGGAGGCAAGCGUUGUCCGGAAUUACUGGGCGUAAAGCGCGCGUAGGUGGCUUCAUAAGUCCGUUGUGAAAGUCAAAGGCUCAACCUUUGAAAGCCGAUGGAUACUGUGAAGCUAGAGUACGGAAGAGGCGAGUGGAAUUCCUGGUGUAGCGGUGGAAUGCGCAGAUAUCAGGAGGAACACCAAUAGCGAAGGCAGCUCGCUGGGACGUUACUGACACUGAGGCGCGAAAGCGUGGGGAGCGAACAGG
rnacentral:rRNA from 1 species